UACAGAGGGGGGCGAGCGUUAUUCGGAAUUAUUGGGCGUAAAGGGCGCGUAGGCGGCCUUUCAAGUGACGGGUGAAAUCCCUCGGCUUAACCGAGGAACUGCCUGUCAGACUGGAAGGCUUGAGACCGGGAGAGGUGAGUGGAAUUCCCAGUGUAGCGGUGAAAUGCGUAGAUAUCAGGAGGAACACCGAUGGCGAAGGCAGGUCUCUGGGCUGACACUGACGCUCAUGCACGAAAGCGUGGGGAGCGAAACAAGGAUUGAGAA
rnacentral:rRNA from 1 species